UGGAAGCAGCAACCCAUGUUCGGGAAGGCAUCAAUGGAUGCCGCGGUGCACGAAGGGGGGUCUGGCAACGGCGCGUAGGGACUUGGAAGACAUUGGAUAGCAAAUGUGGGAGGUGGUGGCAGCGUGCAGGAUGCUAGGGCCAGCGGUGGAGAUGACCGUGGCGACAUGGUGCAAGGAUGUUGAGGGCGGCGGUAUGUUACCCGCACAAUCAGGGAAGAAGCAU
rnacentral:lncRNA from 1 species